rnacentral:rRNA from 1 species
AAACUGAUAACCGAAGCUGCGGAUGGGCGCGUAAGCGUCCCGUGGUAGGGGAGCGUUCUGUAGGUCUGUGAAGGUGUCUCGUAAGGGAUGCUGGAGAUAUCAGAAGUGCGAAUGCUGACAUGAGUAGCGAUAAAGCGGGUGAAAAGCCCGCUCGCCGAAAGCCCAAGGUUUCCUACGCAACGUUCAUCGGCGUAGGGUGAGUCGGCCCCUAAGGCGAGGCUGAAAAGCGUAGUCGAUGGGAAACGGGUUAAAAUUCCCGUACUUUUAUGCAGUGCGAUGUGGGGACGGAGAAGGUUAGGUCAGCGGCCUGUUGGAAUAGGUCGUUCAAGCUGGUAGGUGGUUAGAAGUAGGCAAAUCCGCUCUUUCAUUCAACACCGAGAAGUGAUAACGAAGGGUCUACGGACCUGAAGUGACUGAUACCACGCUUUCAGG